UGCAGUCGAACGGCAGCACGGACUUCGGUCUGGUGGCGAGUGGCGAACGGGUGAGUAAUGUAUCGGAACGUGCCCAGUAGCGGGGGAUAACUACGCGAAAGCGUAGCUAAUACCGCAUACGCCCUACGGGGGAAAGCAGGGGAUCGCAAGACCUUGCACUAUUGGAGCGGCCGAUAUCGGAUUAGCUAGUUGGUGGGGUAACGGCUCACCAAGGCGACGAUCCGUAGCUGGUUUGAGAGGACGACCAGCCACACUGGGACUGAGACACGGCCCAGACUCCUACGGGAGGCAGCAGUGGGGAAUUUUGGACAAUGGGGGAAACCCUGAUCCAGCCAUCCCGCGUGUGCGAUGAAGGCCUUCGGGUUGUAAAGCACUUUUGGCAGGAAAGAAACGUCAUGGGUUAAUACCCCGUGAAACUGACGGUACCUGCAGAAUAAGCACCGGCUAACUACGUGCCAGCAGCCGCGGUAAUACGUAGGGUGCAAGCGUUAAUCGGAAUUACUGGGCGUAAAGCGUGCGCAGGCGGUUCGGAAAGAAAGAUGUGAAAUCCCAGAGCUUAACUUUGGAACUGCAUUUUUAACUACCGGGCUAGAGUGUGUCAGAGGGAGGUGGAAUUCCGCGUGUAGCAGUGAAAUGCGUAGAUAUGC
rnacentral:rRNA from 1 species